rnacentral:rRNA from 1 species
CCAAGGAGUCUAACAUGUGCGCGAGUCGUAGGGUGCUCGCAAAAUUAUAAGAAACGAAACCCGAAGGCGAAAUGAAAGUGAAGGUCGGUAGACUGAUCGACCGAGGCGGGAUCCGUCCGGACGUCGACUCGCGGGCCCCACAAAGGCUCGCGGCGUUGGGUCCGGCGGCGCACCGCCGGCCCGUCUCGACCGCUUCUCGUCGGCGAGGCGGAGCAGGAGCGCACACGUUGGGACCCGAAAGAUGGUGAACUAUGCUCGGGCAGGACGAAGCCAGAGGAAACUCUGGUGGAGGUCCGUAGCGAUUCUGACGUGCAAAUCGAUCGUCGGACCCGAGUAUAGGGGCGAAAGACUAAUCGAACCGUCUA